rnacentral:piRNA from 1 species
UGCAGUCCUUUUUUAAAGCCCUGGUUUGC